CAGCCAUAUCACAUUGAAACAUUGGUUCUCAUCCAUCACUAAAGUUAAGCAAUGUUGAGCCUGAUUAGUACCUAGAUGAUUGACCACUUGGGAAUAACCAGGUGUUGUAAGC